AUUGAACGCUGGCGGCAGGCCUAACACAUGCAAGUCGAGCGGAUCGGCGGACGGGUAAGUAAUGCCUAGGACUCGGCCUGGUAGUGGGGGAUAACGUCCAGAAACGGGCGCUAAUACCGCAUCCUAUCAGAUGAGCCUAGGUCGGAUUGGCUAGUAGGUGGGGUAACGGCGCACCUAGGCGACGAUCCCUAGCUGGUCGGAGAGGAUGACCAGCCACACUGGAACUGAGACACGGUCCAGACUCCUACGGGAGGCAGCAGUGGGGAAUAUUGCACAAUGGGCGAAAGCCUGAUGCAGCCAUGCCGCGUGUGUGAAGAAGGCCUUCGGGUUGUAAAGCACUUUAAGCGGGGAGGCGUUACCCGCAGAAGAAGCACCGGCUAACUCCGUGCCAGCAGCCGCGGUAAUUC
rnacentral:rRNA from 1 species